rnacentral:rRNA from 1 species
GUAGGGAAUAUUGCACAAUGGGCGAAAGCCUGAUGCAGCAACGCCGCGUGCGCGAAGAAGGCCUUCGGGUCGUAAAGCGCUUUUCGGGGAGAUGAGAAAGGACAGUAUCCCCGGAAUAAGGCUCGGCUAACUACGUGCCAGCAGCCGCGGUAAAACGUAGGAGCCAAGCGUUAUCCGAAUUCACUGGGCGUAAAGCGCGAGCAGGCGGCUCGACAAGUUGGAUGUGAAAUCUCCUGGCUCAACUAGGAGAGGCCGUUCAAAACUGUUGGGCUAGAGGACGGCAGAGGGAGGUGGAAUUCCCGGUGUAGUGGUGAAAUGCGUAGAUAUCGGGAGGAACACCAGUGGCGAAAGCGGCCUCCUGGGCCGUUCCUGACGCUGAGAUGCGAAAGCUAGGGGAGCGAACGGGAUUAGAUACCCUUGUAGUCC